rnacentral:rRNA from 1 species
GUAGGCGGAGUGGCAAGUCAGAAGUGUAAUCCUCGAGCUCAACUCGAGGCUUGCUUUUGAAACUGCUUCUCUUGAGUUAUGUAUAGGGAGACGGAAUUCCAGGUGUAGCGGUGGAAUGCGUAGAUAUCUGGAAGAACACCCGUAGCGAAGGCGGUCUCCUGGCCAUAUACUGACGCUGAGGCUCGAAAGCGUGGGGAGCAAACAGGAUUAGAUACCCUGGUAGUCUACGCCGUAAACGAUGGACACUAGAUGUUGGGGGCUUUAUGCCUUCGGUGUCGUAGCUAACGCGAUAAGUGUCCCGCCUGGGGAGUACGCUCGCAAGGGUGAAACUCAAAGGAAUUGACGGGGGCCCGCACAAGCGGUGGAGCAUGCGCUUUAAUUCGAUGCAACGCGAAGAACCUUACCUGGGCUUGACAUGGGAGUGAAACUUCCCAGAGAUGGGGAGCCUUCCUUCGGGAACACUCUACACAGGUGCUGCAUGGUUGUCGUCAGCUCGUGUCGUGAGAUGUUGGGUUAAGUCCCGCAACGAGCGCAACCCUCGCCCUUAGUUGCCAUCAGGUAAUGCUGGGAACUCUAGGGGGACUGCCUGGUCCAACCAGGAGGAAGGUGGGGAUGACGUCAAAUCCUCAUGGCCCUUACGUCCAGGGCUAGACGCGUGCUACAAUGGCCGGUACAGAGGGAAGCGAAAUCGUGAGGUGGAGCUAAUCCGGAAAAACCGGUCUCAGUUCGGAUUGGAGUCUGCAAUUCGACUCUAUGAAGGUGGAAUCGCUAGU